rnacentral:lncRNA from 1 species
CUGGAGGCGCCAUGUCGGGCCGGGAAGGUGGCAAAAAGAAGCCCCUGAAACAGCCCAAGAAGCAGGCCAAGGAGAUGGACGAGGAAGAUAAGGCUUUCAAGCAGAAACAAAAGGAGGAACAGAAGAAACUCGAGGAGCUAAAAGCCAAGGCUGCCGGGAAGGGCCCCCUGGCCACAGGUGGAAUUAAGAAAUCUGGCAAAAAGUAAGCUGUUCCUCACAUCUGGGGUGAUAGUGACCCUCCUCUUCCAUUCCUAUUUAAACAUCUGGAUUCCCUGCCAUAGCAUCUUUGCCACCUACAGCUAGAAUGAAGUGUUAUCCUGUGCCCAGUCAAACAUCUGGAUUCCCUGUCAUAACAUCUUUGCCAUGUAAUAGCUAGAAUGAAAUGUUAUCCUGAAGCCUGUUGUACAUUGUAAUAAACUUUUGU